GGGCGAUUGGUUUAACGGUAAAACAUCAUAGAACCUUGUGGUUAUGGGACUCCCCGUAAACCCAUAUUAAUAACACUUGUCUUCAAUUGUGAAAGCUCUAGGUUCGAAUCUUAGGUUGUCCA